UACGUAGGGUCCGAGCGUUGUCCGGAAUUACUGGGCGUAAAGAGCUCGUAGGUGGUUUGUCGCGUUGUUCGUGAAAACUCACAGCUCAACUGUGGGCGUGCGGGCGAUACGGGCAGACUAGAGUACUGCAGGGGAGACUGGAAUUCCUGGUGUAGCGGUGGAAUGCGCAGAUAUCAGGAGGAACACCGGUGGCGAAGGCGGGUCUCUGGGCCAAUACUGACGCUGAGGAGCGAAAGCGUGGGGAGCGAACAGG
rnacentral:rRNA from 1 species